UACAGAGGGGGCAAGCGUUAUUCGGAAUUAUUGGGCGUAAAGGGCGCGUAGGCGGCCUGUGCAAGUCAGUUGUGAAAUCUCCGGGCUUAACUCGGAACGGUCAACUGAUACUGCUCGGCUAGAGUGCGGAAGGGGCAACUGGAAUUCUUGGUGUAGCGGUGAAAUGCGUAGAUAUCAAGAGGAACACCUGCGGCGAAGGCGGGUUGCUGGGCCGACACUGACGCUGAUGCGCGAAAGCUAGGGGAGCGAACGGG
rnacentral:rRNA from 1 species